GUGUGAGCACCAGUCAGAUCCAGCCUCGCCCCUGGGGGAAUCGAUGAAGCUGCUGCGGUAACCCAGACUGAGCUGUGGAUUGGAUCUCACUACGGUUUCCUGUCAUUUUACAGAAAUCAGGGUGAGCCUACAGAAAAGCAGAAGAUCGCUGAUUGUCAGAAGUCCCAGUAAGGUAUGCACCUGUUGGACAAUCAGAAGGGCUACAUCAUUCCUAUGGACCCCAAGUCAGAAUUCAACUUAUAUUCUACUAUACUUUUUUUCCUUUAAACAAUGUAUACACCUAUGUACUAAUAAUAUGUCAUGUGCUAACCUGAAACUAUAGGCAGAGACAUUACAUAAUCUUUGACUAUUGGCUACUGUGCUUAUCUUGUCUGGCUGCUAGACCUAUCCAGGGGCUCGGGACCACCAACUCCGUCACUUACCUCCGCUCAUGAAAAAUCCAUAUAAUCCAUUGUAAUCAAUUGUUUGGCAGUGUCUCCGAGCCUAAUAAGCAAAGUGACACUCCGCCAGGGCUGUGCGUAAUAAACCCAUGUGCUUG